GAUGAACGCUGGCGGCGUGCCUAAUACAUGCAAGUCGAGCGAACAGAUGAGGAGCUUGCUCCUCUGACGUUUGCGGCGGACGGGUGAGUAACACGUGGAUAACCUACCUAUAAGACUGGGAUAACUUCGGGAAACCGGAGCUAAUACCGGAUAAUAUAUUGAACCGCAUGGUUCAAUAGUGAAAGACGGUUUUGCUGUCACUUAUAGAUGGAUCCGCGCCGCAUUAGCUAGUUGGUAAGGUAACGGCUUACCAAGGCAACGAUGCGUAGCCGACCUGAGAGGGUGAUCGGCCACACUGGAACUGAGACACGGUCCAGACUCCUACGGGAGGCAGCAGUAGGGAAUCUUCCGCAAUGGGCGAAAGCCUGACGGAGCAACGCCGCGUGAGUGAUGAAGGUCUUCGGAUCGUAAAACUCUGUUAUUAGGGAAGAACAAAUGUGUAAGUAACUAUGCACGUCUUGACGGUACCUAAUCAGAAAGCCACGGCUAACUACGUG
rnacentral:rRNA from 1 species